rnacentral:rRNA from 1 species
CCUACGGGAGGCAGCAGUGAGGAAUAUUGGUCAAUGGACGGAAGUCUGAACCAGCCAUGCCGCGUGCAGGAAGACGGCUCUAUGAGUUGUAAACUGCUUUUGUACAAGGGUAAACCUGAAUACGUGUAUUCAGCUGAAAGUACUGUACGAAUAAGGAUCGGCUAACUCCGUGCCAGCAGCCGCGGUAAUACGGAGGAUCCAAGCGUUAUCCGGAUUUAUUGGGUUUAAAGGGUGCGUAGGCGGAUUGAUAAGUUAGAGGUGAAAUGUCCGAGCUUAACUCGGGAACUGCCUCUAAUACUGUUGAUCUAGAGAGUAGAUGCGGUAGGCGGAAUGUAUGGUGUAGCGGGGAAAUGCUUAGAGAGCAUACAGAACACCGAUUGCGAAGGCAGCUUACCAAUCUAUAUCUGACGUUGAGGCACGAAAGCGUGGGGAGCAAACAGGAUUAGAUACCCGGGUAGUC